AUUGAACGCUGGCGGAAUGCUUUACACAUGCAAGUCGAACGGCAGCACGGACUUCGGUCUGGUGGCGAGUGGCGAACGGGUGAGUAAUGUAUCGGAACGUGCCCAGUCGUGGGGGAUAACGUAGUGAAAAUUACGCUAAUACCGCAUACGAUCUAUGGAUGAAAGCGGGGGAUCGCAAGACCUCGCGCGAUUGGAGCGGCCGAUAUCAGAUUAGGUAGUUGGUGGGGUAAAGGCCCACCAAGCCAACGAUCUGUAGCUGGUCUGAGAGGACGACCAGCCACACUGGAACUGAGACACGGUCCAGACUCCUACGGGAGGCAGCAGUGGGGAAUUUUGGACAAUGGGCGAAAGCCUGAUCCAGCCAUUCCGCGUGCAGGAUGAAGGCCCUCGGGUUGUAAACUGCUUUUGUACAGAACGAAAAGGUUUCUAAUACUACUAGGAGCUCAUGACGGUACUGUAAGAAUAAGCACCGGCUAAAUACGUGCCAGCCGCCGCGGUAA
rnacentral:rRNA from 1 species